rnacentral:rRNA from 1 species
AUGAACGCUGGCGGCGUGCCUAAUACAUGCAAGUCGAGCGAACAGACGAGGAGCUUGCUCCUCUGACGUUAGCGGCGGACGGGUGAGUAACACGUGGAUAACCUACCUAUAAGACUGGGAUAACUUCGGGAAACCGGAGCUAAUACCGGAUAAUAUAUUGAACCGCAUGGUUCAAUAGUGAAAGACGGUUUUGCUGUCACUUAUAGAUGGAUCCGCGCCGCAUUAGCUAGUUGGUAAGGUAACGGCUUACCAAGGCGACGAUGCGUAGCCGACCUGAGAGGGUGAUCGGCCACACUGGAACUGAGACACGGUCCAGACUCCUACGGGAGGCAGCAGUAGGGAAUCUUCCGCAAUGGGCGAAAGCCUGACGGAGCAACGCCGCGUGAGUGAUGAAGGUCUUCGGAUCGUAAAACUCUGUUAUUAGGGAAGAACAAAUGUGUAAGUAACUAUGCACGUCUUGACGGUACCGAAGCAGAAAGCCACGGCUAACUACGU